ACUUUUAUAUUUUGGAUAUCUUUCUCAGGUAUGUCCUGGUGUUUUCCUUUGUAGAUGAAUACUUAUACUAGUAUCAAAUGUUUUAGAAAAACAGCUUUUGCUUACAUAAUAUUAGAGCAUCAUGUUUACAUUGUGAACUUUUAUUUAAGGCCAAAUUGUAGACAUAGGAAUGGGCCGGAGGAACAAGCCAAGGGCAACAAGACCAGAAAUAGGUGAUAAAUUGGUAACACCUGACCCUCAUCCAAUGGUUGUGGGAGCAGUGAAAUGUGUACUACCCAGGAAGACUGCCUUAAACUUACAUAAGGCUUGUGAAGUAACCACAAACAUCCGAAGUCCUGUCUCCAAUACGUAUGAGAGAUUAGAUAAUAGAGUGGUGAAAAUCUGUGUCAAUCUAUGGCCUGUCCUGGCUUCAGCCAAAGAGCCUGUAGAGGAAAGCAGUAGUUCGCUGGAUGAAGAGGAACCUGGGACCAGCACAGAUACAAGGACCUUCAACACAUCAAAGUCUGGUGAGCAGUGUCCGAGAGACCAAGAAAGGAGACCCCAUGUUAGACAAGAAUUGGACAGGGCUAAAGCAAGCUGUCUAGUGAAGCCUAUUUUACUACCACCCAUAAGUAAAAUAUCCCUUACAACACGACUAGCACAUUCAGAGUGCAUGGGAAUGCAAGUGCCACACACAUCUCUGCCACAGAUAUGUGUAUCAGACCAAGAUGCCUUGGUCAAAUCCUCCAAGGGGACAAAAGCCAUUGAGAAUAAGGCACCAUUUCCCAUGAUCCUAUUGCAGAAGACCAGCCAUUUGAUGGACAGCACCAUUAUCUCCCAAUGUAGGUCUACCCAGGUUCACCUCCCUGAGAUAUCAGUGUCCAGUAUAGAAGGCCUGCUUCAGAGAGUUGCAGAGCGAGUGGGAAGGAGAGAGAGCGAUGAGACAUCGGGACUGACCAAUCCUGAUCAUCUUCUCAUGGCUGGCGCGCUGCGAGACAUGAGAGAGAAGAGGCUCCAGCAUCGGGAGACUAUAGCUCAGAGGGAGCGGUAAGAUGUCCAGAGGUCAAGCCAAUCGGUGGACAGAAAGGGACCACUCUAGUAACAGAGAAUGGAAUGCAGAACCCUGCCUCCCUCUGCAAUAAAACCAAACUGCCUGUCAUCCUUAGUAUGACCAAAGGAAGCCUUUGAACAUGGAUGAAUCACCAUCAACAAUAGAUAAAUUGUACAUGUUAAUAAAGUUGUUAGAACAAAAUACCCAAGAUAGACGUAUCCCCAUUAAGGUUUAUUACUAUAUGUUCUGUAUACAUCUAGUUAUAUGUACACAUAAAUAAUCAUACACAUAAUCAAGUAUGAAUGUUCAAGCAUAAUAUAGUACGUCAUAAGACCAUACAUUCAAUUGUAUGUAUAGAUAUUCUACACAUGCCUAUCAGUUAUUGUAUCUUUCCAAUACAUCAGACUGCAGUACAGCACAGUAGUAAACUGCUUUGGAUUUACAGCUACAUUGUUUUUUCAAGUUCCAUACAGUAUAACGAGCCCAAUUAAAAACAGAUUUUAAAAAACGAUAAAAACAGUUUACCUAAUGAAGGCAGUGUUUGGAGUCUGGUAUGCAGUCUGGUAACUGCGCAUCUCAAUGUUGUGCCAGUGCAAAUAAACCAUGUUUUUAGCAUCAAAUAAUAAAUGUGACUGGACAUAAGAAAAAAAUAUAUUUUUCUCUCUGUGCAAAACAUGAGACCAAUGUGAAAAGAUAUUGAUGAUUUUGUUGCCCUGAACAUCUUCAGUGAUAAUGUAACAAUCAUUAUGUGCAGCAUUUCUCAGUUAAAGUGCUUUAGGCAAAAUGCAAAGAUAUUGAAAGACUCGAUGAUUGACCCAUGAUGAAUACCACUAUUCCAUCAUUAA